GACGAACGCUGGCGGCGUGCUUAACACAUGCAAGUCGAACGGAAAGGCCCUGCUUUUGUGGGGUGCUCGAGUUGCGAACUGGUGAGUAACACGUGAGUAACCUGCCCCUGACUUUGGGAUAACUUCAGGAAACUUGGGCUCAUACCGGAUAGGAUCUCCUGCUGCAUGGUGGGGGUUGGAAAGUUUCGGCGGUUGGGGAUGGACUCGCGGCUUAUCAGCUUGUUGGUGGGGUAGUGGCUUACCAAGGCUUUGACGCGUAGCCGUCCUGAGAGGGUCACCGGCCACAUUGGGCCUGAGAUACGGCACAGCCUCCUACGGGACGCAGCAGUGGGGAAUAGUGCACAAUGGGCGGAAGCCUGAUGCAGCAACGCCGCGUGCGGGAUGAGGGGAAUCGGGUUGUAAACCGCUUUCGCCUGUGACGGAACGUGAGUGACGGUAAUGGGUAAAGAAGCACCGGCUAACUACGUG
rnacentral:rRNA from 1 species